rnacentral:misc_RNA from 1 species
GAUGAAGAACGCAGCGAAAUGCGAUAAGUAAUGUGAAUUGCAGAAUUCAGUGAAUCAUCGAAUCUUUGAACGCACAUUGCGCCCCCCAGUAUUCUGGCGGGCAUGCCUGUUCGAGCGUCAUUUCAACCAUCAAGCCCUGCUUGUGUUGGGGUCCUGCGGCUGCCCGCAGGCCCUGAAAACCAGUGGCGGGCUCGCUAGUCACACCGAGCGCAGUAGCACAUCUCGCUCAGGGCGUGCGGCGGGCUCCAGCCGUUAAAGCACCCACCUUUCGCAAGGUUGACCUCGGAUCAGGUGGGAAUACCCGCUGAACUUAAGCAUAUCAAUAAGCGGAGGA